CCCCCCCCAGUGAACUCUCGACAAACCAUGCACUCCCUUCACUCGUCUCCUCUUCCUCGCUCGUCUCCCGCCGGAGAUCCCUUGCUCGGCUCCCCGCAUCGGAGCUCCCUGCUUGCGUCCCUGCACCGGAGAUCUCCUGCUCGACUCCCCGCAUCGUCUUCGAAGCUCCCCCUCCUUGUUCCCCUCCUCCAUCGCGUUGCUCUCCACCGAUCUGCUUGCCACCGGAGAGGGCUCGUUUUUUCCGACUUGCUCUCCUCCGGACGUGCCCUUCCCCAAUGGUGGCGAGCGGGAGCUGGCCCUGCCUGCCAUCAACCUCGUUGUCCAACUCGUCCUUGAAGCCGGUCCCUGCUAACCUCGCCGUGAACCUCAUUUUCCCCUUCGCUUGCUUAACCUACUAGUUGGCUGAGAUCAGAGGGCUUCUAAUCUCAUCAAUCAGAGGGCUUUUAAUCUCGGCACCCCUCGAAUCUCAUUCCCACCUGGAACCAAACAUGUUGGCUGAGAGUCGACCUCGUCUGCAUCUUUGUUCUCUUUCUCUUUCCACCCAUUUUCUCCUGGAAGAAACCGGCCAUGGCAGACGAGAAGCGCCUCUCCUGGAAGGCACAGGUCAUGGCCACCCAUUGAGCGGAAGCGAAAGAGAGGUCUCGCCAUCGCGCCCCGGCCUCCGCCGUGGAGAUCCCACUGGACGAGGCGAGAGACCUCAGCCGUCUUCAGGAGUUGCACAUGGCCAGGGCAAGUUGCGGGGCCGGGGUUCAGGCAAACCUAAACGCCGGGACGCCGACGCACCAGCCCUUGGCCGAAAGCAGGACUCAAAAACCCGCUUUUCCUUCGUGCUUGCUUUCCGCCGAGGUUGAGCAGAUGGAGGGCCCAGGGCCUCCUUGAACUCGGCUUCGUGAUCCUCGCUGAAGAUCGACACGGACUUCCUUACAAGGACAAUCGGAGAGCGCGCCGACUUGUGCCAUCAGAACAAGAACUGGGAGAAAAUUCAUGACUAGGACCUGAAGGCGCUCCAUGCCAUUGGAGCUCAAAGGCACGAGGCGCUAGCGGAGCUCAACAAGGAGAAGGCCAUCGCGUCCAGGCUGCUAAAAGAGAAGGUCAAGCUCGAGAAGGAGCUCUACCAGUCGCACGCCCAACUCGCGGCUGCCAUCGGCCGUCAUCAUGAAGACGUGGCCACGAAACGCGAACAGGCCGCCCAUCUGGAAGUAACGGAAGUCUUUGCCGAAGCCGUGCGGAGGGCUAACCAGCACCUCAAAUCAAUCUAGUACUUUAUAGAUCUUGAGGCUGUGACUUGCAUGAUGUGCAUUGUUUUAACCCCUAAGA